GAUGAACGCUGGCGGCGUGCUUAACACAUGCAAGUCGAACGGAAAGGCCCUGCUUGCUGGGUACUCCAGUUGCGAACGGGCGGGUAACUCGUGGGUGAUUUGCCCUGCACUUCGGGUUAAGCUAGGGCAACUGGGUCUAAUACCUGAUAGGAACUAUCUUCAGCGUGGUGGUUGGAAAGUUCUUUCGGUGUUGGAUGAGCUGACGACGUAGGAGCUGGUUGGUGGGGUAAUGGGCUAUCAAGGCGGCGACGCGUAGCCGGCCUGAGAGGGUGAACGGCCACAAGGGAACUGAGACACGGACCAGGCUCGUACGGGAGGCCGCAGUCGGGAAUGGGGCAGAAGGGGCGAAAGUCUGACAAUGGGAGCAAGCGUGAGUGAGGAAGGCCUCGUGGUGGUAGAAGGCUUUUGGGUUGUAAGAACAUCUGGCUAGGGACGCAGCUUUGUUGUGACGGUACCUAGAUAAGAAGCACCGGCUAACUACGUG
rnacentral:rRNA from 1 species